UAAGAGUUUGAUCCUAGCUCAGGAUGAACGCUGGCGGUGUGCCUGAGAUAUGCAAGUCGAGCGUCCCUAAUCCCUCGUGGUUUAGGGUAGCGGCGGACGGCUGAGUAACACGUAGGAACCUGCCCCUAAGCAGAGGAUAGCCUCGAGAAAUCGGGGGUAAUACUCUAUAGUUUCUGACAUUAUAGUCAGAAUAAAGGGCUUAACUGCUCACUUAGGGAGGGGCCUGCGGCCUAUCAGGUAGUUGGUAGGGUAAUGGCCUACCAAGCCUACGACGGGUAGCCGGUCUGGGAGGAUGAUCGGCCAGAGGAGCACUGAGACACGGGCUCCAGCCCUACGGGGCGCAGCAAUCAGGAAUAGUGGGCAAUGGGCGAAAGCCUGACCCCGCGACACCGCGUGCGGGAAGAAGCUCUUUACGAGUGUAAACCGCUGUGGUAGGAGAUGAAGCCUGCCUUCUUAGGUGGGUUGACAGUAUCCUACUAGAAAGGGGCCGCUAACUUCGUGCCAGAAGCGUCGGUGAUACGUGGGCCUCAAGCGUUAUCCGGUAUUACUGGGCGUAAAGCGUCGUGUAGGCUGCUAAAAAAGUUUUGGCUUAAAGCCCGAGGCUCAACCUCGGACAAGGCUGAAAUACUUUUUAGCUUGAGCUUACUUUAGGGAGACUGGAACUUAGGGAGGAGCGGUGAAAUGCGUUGAUACCCUAGGGAACACCAGUGGCGAAGGCGAGUCUCUGAAAGUAAGCUGACGCUGAGACACGAAAGCUAGGGGAGCGAACCGGAUUAGAGACCCGGGUAGUCCUAGCCCUAAACGCAUGCUGGCUAGCCGCAUUCUUCUGAUUCUUCAGGAGGGUGUAGCGAAGCUAACGCGUUAAGCCAGCCGCCUGGGAAGUACGAUCGCAAGGUUGAAACUCAAAGGAAUUGGCGGGGAGGCACACAACUAGUGGAGCAUGUGGUUCAAUUCGAGACAAACCGAAGAACCUCACCAAGGCUUGACAUCUUGCCGUCAAGUUCCGUAGAAAUACGGAAUGAUUCCGAUUUAAUCGGAAAGGCAAGACAGGUGCUGCAUGGCUGUCGUCAGCUCGUUCCGUGAGGAGUGCCCUUAAGUGGGACAACGAGCGCAACCCCCAUCCUAUGUUAAAUUUGUCAUAGGAAACUGCCCCGAUACUUUAUCGGGGAGGAAGGAGGGGCAGACGUCAAGUCAGCAUGGCCCUUACGCCUUGGGCUACACACAUGCUACAAUGAACAGGACAAUGGGAUGCUAACUGGCAACAGGGAGCAAAUCCCACAAACCUGUUCUCAGUGGGGAUUGAGGUCUGAAACUCGACCUCAUGAACGCGGAAUUAGUAGUAAUCGCGGAUCAGCUAUGCCGCGGUGAAUACGUUCUUGCCUCUUGCACACACUGCCCAUCAAGCCACCAAAGUCAUUGAUUUCUGAACCCGCCGUUUUAGGCGGGGAGGAAGUCGAUGGUGAUGGGGGUUAAGUUGUAACAAGGUAGCCGUACUGGAAGGUGCGGCUGGAUCACCUCCUUU
rnacentral:rRNA from 1 species